AACCUUCCAGUAGAAGGAGGCACUCUGGGAGGAGUUCUAUUCAGGACACCUUUUUAGAAAUUAAAAUUCCCAAAAUUCACAGGCUAGGAGUUACAGGCGCCCACCCGUUAGUACGGCCUUGGGCUUCAAGAGCAAAGCGCGGAAGGAGAGUGGAAAGGAAAGUGCCUACAACUCCCAGAGCGCCACGCGGGAGGCGUCCCGGCGCUGCCCGCUGCAGUCGCCGAGCGGCGCCGCGCUUGCUGUGAGGCCCGCCUGUCGCUUGUCGGUCCUACCCGCGCUCGCCGCCCUCGCGCCCGCCCCGCAGCCGGCGCGUCCAGCCGGCGCCUUGGUCUCGCCCUCCGCGAAGGUGGCCCGAUCUGCCCUUCACAGUCGCCUCUGUCCACUAAGGUCACCGAGGGGCCCGAGGCGCCACCGGCCCUUCUCGGAGGCCCUCGCUCCUCCCGCUCCAUUCCCCCAAAUGCUCUGGACUCCCGGGAUGCUCUGGGGACAGGACGGACGCGGUCCCUGCUGCCACGAAAGUCCCUGCUUGCAGACUGUUGGAAUUGAGAAUCUCAAAGCAGAGAAGAGGAAGAACUACAACACGCGAUCAUUGCUAUGAAAGAAACAUGGUCCCGUAGAGAGAAAAGCCGAUUUUAGGUGGGCCAACUUAGGCCCUUUGGUCUCCACCACGCCUCCCACUCGUGUCUUGGUGCGGGGACGUGAGCAUAAUCGCAUAUUUCCGUGUCUUUGAAGGUAUAUGGGGGGCAACACCCCCGCCGCCCCCGACGGGAUCCCUGCACAGCACCUGGCAUUUCCCUGCCUGGAGGCUGCUGUAAAGUCAGGAGAGACUAAAUGGAAACCACGGAUUCCUAGAUGCGGCUCCCGUGAACCUUUGGGCUAUUUGGGCGGAACCUUUGCAGUGUUUGAACUUACAGUCCCUCUCCUGCUUUCCACAGACAACGUUGCCAGACACAUUAGGGGGCUCCAUAAAUACUUGAGCACCUCUUAAUAUGUCAGAAUGUCCAGAUUCAGAGACAGGAAGAAGCACAGCGCUCCCAGCAUCCAACUCUGGCGGAGCUCAGCAAGCCUGGGCAGGGGGUUGGCAGGUGUAGAAGGCACUUUUACCACUGAGGAUUCAUCAGUAUUUCCUUCCAGCUCACAUUCUGCGGUAGAUUUAAAUGCUUGAAAUCCUCUCACAGUCCCUCAUCACCUAUGCGAUGAAAUUCAAGCUCCUUAGCACAAUCUGGAAGCCCCUUCGUGGUUUGGAGGUUGUCUAACUGACCAGGUUCGACUGCCUCUCCUUGCCUGGAACUUGCCAGGCUGGCGAAUUCAGAACAUUUGUAGGUCCCUAGUUGUUUCAUGUUUCCCCUAAAAGUCUUUCUCUCCCAGCCAACAAUCCUUUGUCCCCCCCCCCCUCCCCCCGCCAACUAUCCUUUAGACUUGAGUCUGGUCCCUCAGAACUAUCUGCUCUUCUCGUUGGGUCACACAACCUUGCCUCAGAGUCCCGAUGUGUAACACGCUGCUGGAGACCUCUGAGCAAUUAUACAGAUAGGCCCGUUUUCUCCAGCCCGGUGUGGUGAUUAAGAGGGUUUCUGGGGAUUCUAGAACAGCUGGGUUUGAAGCAUGGCUCCCCAUUCUGGAUCCGGGGCUGCUUCUAUAACCUGCUUCUCACAGCUUCCUUGUUGGCCAGGCAGCGGUGAGAUUAGUAGGCUCUCCUCACACGACUGCUAUGGACACGAUAUAGGAUGAUACGUGUGUGGAACUUAUCCAUAAAUGUUAGCUAAGGUGACAAGAACAGCUGAUGGCUAUGUGUGCCCAGCCCUGUUCUAAGUGUUAUGUGUUCCAAGUGUCACAUGGUGAGUGUUUUAACUCUUCUCAUCUUCACAACAGCCUUGUGAAGGUGUUAUCAGCAUUCUCAUUGUGCAAAUGAGGGAACCGCCCAAGUGACUUUCCAAGGUCACCCUGCCUGCCGGGUCAAGAAUGGUGCCAGGAAUUGAACCCAAGCUGUCUGAUUGCAGAGAUCACACCACGCUAUGGCGCCUCUCAGGAAAAGCUCUGGAAACGCCACCUUCGUCAACGAGGACCGGUCCCAGGCCAGCGUCUAAAGCACAGAGGAAAUGUUAAGUGCUCCAACAGCUGUGGACCUAGCAUGAUCUUCCCAUCUCCCUGGCUCUUGCGCUUAACUCCUGGCAGGCCAUCUGCUUCCAAUCUGCUGACUUGAGCUGAGAUCCUGCCCUCACCCCCAGAAUGUUGCCUCUUGAUCACUGAUAGUGCACAGACAUCUUCGGGAAGGUUCAUAGGGAGGCUGGUUCACUCAGCUCGUAGCACCUGAGCACCCAGUUACUGAGGGUACAUCCUGAAUGGUGGGAAUUGAAAUUCCUGUGGCCUCCCGCGCAGUGGAGCCUCCUGAAGAGACCCCUGAACUGCUAGCAGACAACCAGCCGGUGGGAAAGGCGGGGCCUCGCUGGUGCUCAAAAAUAAUGGCACUUCUCGUGCACCCUUUUCACUCAUUCAUUCUUAGAGCCAACAAGUAUUGAGUGCACAUUCAGUGCUGGGUACUCUCAGGCACCAGAGACAGCAUUUAGUAAGGACCUGAAUGAAGAGAAACCGUGUGCACAUGUAGAACUAGCGACAGAAUGUUCCGCACAAGAGAAGAGGUGUGAAGGCUCUGGAGUGUGAGCAAGCUUGAUGUCUUCCAGAAAUGAGAUGAGGAUACCUGGAGCAUGGUGAGAGAGGAGAGGUGCUGGGUUUGCCUUUGGUUAAGUCACUUCCUCUCUCUGAAUUUCAGUGUUCUCAUCUGUAAAAUGGGCAUAAUUUUACCUGUGUGUUAGUGUCUAGUUAGGGGGUGGGGAAAGCCACCCUAGGUAUUUCAGGCAGAAGGAAUGUAAUACAGGGCAUUGUUUACAGAGGUGUUGGGAGGGCAGGAGGAGCCAGGGAACAACGAGGACACCCACAGAUUAGUAACUGGAGGGAGUGGCUGUGGCCCCUAAGACCAGAGGAGCAAAAGGAGAAAUAACGUUUCCCAGAACCGUGAUUCCUGCUUGCUCGAGCAGGAAUUGAGAGCCACACCCUCAGGGGUGCUACUGUCACACAGCUGCUGUCACCACCAGGGCCUGAGGGGCCGCCAGAAUCCUGGGCUGGGAUGGCUCCUCCCUCCCUCCUGUCUUCUGAAGCCCUGCUGGUGCCUCCUGGAGGCAGGGUCACCUGACCAGGGCAUCUGGGAAAUGAGGUUUGCAGGCUCCCGGUCCUGGCUGCGAAGAAGAGCCUAAACAGGCAAGUGCAGGAUGGGAACCACAGACGCCAUUCCCACACCAGCCACUGCACACUUCUGUACGAGGAGGUAAACAAGGUGCGUGCCACGCACACAGCUCCGGGACUCGCGUUUCUCUCUCCACCGAAUCUUGGAGGUCGCUCUCAGCACACACCACUUUGUUUUACCAGAACCAUGCUUUUCCUAGCCAGCCUCCCGGAGUCUUUUUACUGUUUCCGAGAGGGCUGCGGUGCGCACGCUUGCACAACUUCCUAGUGCCCGUGCGCAUGUCUUCCUGUGGGAUCAUUUCCGAAAGGGAACUUGCUGGGUCAAAGGCUGUGGGCGCUUGUCACUGUGAUAAAUACGGCCCGACCGCCCUCCGCUCCCACCAGCGGGGGCUGUUUUCCCGAAGCGUCACCGGCACCCUCUUCACACCGCCCCCAUGGAGGCCCCAGACGUGGAGGGACAGAGAUAAGCCCUCCCUGCUGUGCCCUGUCUGGAUUCCUGACCCACAGACUGCGUGAGCAGGAUCAAAUGGCUGCUGCUGUAUGCCUCCGUGAAGUGGCUGGUUACACAGCAGUAGGCAGCUGGAACAGCCCCUUCCUAAACUCCUUUUGGCACAGCUCUCCACUUGGUGAGACAAAAGCGGGCCUACCUGUGCUCCCUGCUGCAAAAGCCCAGUCGUUAGCCCAACUGCAGCUGGCCAGUGUCCUUCCAGGAUAUUCCUGGGGAGCCUCCGUCAUCCCACCCAUCGGCAGGCCACCUCGGAUGCAGAAAAGGCCCUGGUGUGUGUGCAGAAACCGCACUCUUCGGGAACCCCCGGCACAUGCCAUUCACGCCCGUUAAGAUAAAACAGUUGCCACAGCUUCACGCAGCGAGUCUGGGAAAGGCACAGAUCGCUCCUAAUUUAUCUUCUUGGUGGAGACUGAUAGCGGUCAGCAUGAGCGGCCUGAAAACACAGGCUCCUUGUUCAUAUGCCUGGACCUGCAAAUAGACUGGGCUGCCUGGAUUCCUCACAGAGAGGGUCCCAGAGACACUCCGUGAGAUGUCCGAGCCCGUGAAGUGGGAGACCUGGGUUUGCGUCCUGACUCUGGCCCCUAGAGGGGACUUAACUGUUCGCUCAUUCGACAAACAUUCCUACGCUCCAAAGACUGUGCGGCAGCGGGGGGCGGGGGGGGGCUGGCAAUGCACAAGGUGGGUGCAGUCCUAUUCUUUGAGAGCUUUUAUUUCAGUGGCAAGAGUUGGUCAACAAGCAAGGACACAAGGAAGAAAACUCCAAGUAGUGGUGCAGGAUCAGAAUAAGAUGGGGAAAAUGAGGUGAAGGGUGCCCAGGGAGGCACCAUUAGAUGGCGAGGUCAGGAAGGGCAGCAUCCACCUUUCCUCUUGCCUAGAAUAUGGCUGUGAUGCCUGCAGGUACGGGAGCCAUUUUGUGGCCAGGAAGCAACAAUCAGGAGGGCAAAAGUCAACAUAGAAAGGGGAUGUAGACGACGAAAAGAGCCUGGGCCUUCAGUAACCUCACAGCACCACCGCACAAGCCCCGGACCUUCCUCCUCCAGACUUUGUAGUACAUAAGACAAAGGAAAUGCCCCUGUGAGUUGGGUUUUCCUAACAGCUGAACACCUGUCUAAUGGCAACAGAUCUAAAUGAGAAGAUUAAAUUAUGGUACUGUGUGGAGGAAGAAGCUCUCAGGUAGAGGGGACAGAAGUACAAAGGCCCUGAGGCAAGGACAGACUCGAAGGAUCUGAAGAACUGAAACGAGGCCAGUGCGGCUGAAGUGGGAGGAACGUGAGGGACACGGGGGGAGCAGGGGCUGCUUCGGGUCCCUCGGAUGGUACCCUUCGCGCAGCGGGAGGGCAGUGGAGUGUUUGGAGCAGGACAGAGACGUGAUCUGACUGAGGUCUUAGAAAGAUCUUUCUGGCUGGGAGACCAUAUGGUCAGGCAAGGGAUGCUGGGCUCCGGCCUAGGCUGGCUGUAGUGCAGAUGGAAUCUGGGGGCCAUGUGUACACACACACACAUACACACGCACACACACCACAUGGGGCCCUCUUCUGCCCACACAGACUCCAUUUUGAAUCCCGACCCUGCCACUCGUCAGCUGUGGGAUUCUGGGACAGGUGACCGAAACACUCCGAACCCACUAGUUUCUGUCUUACCGCCCCUGUUGUGGCCUAGGUUCUGUCCUGCCCUCCUAAGCUGCCUUCCUACCCACAGCCUUCACCUUGCAAUCCUUUCUCCACACUGCAGCCGCCAAGAUUCCUUUAAAAUAAAUAUGAACAUGGCUGGGGCGCCUGGGUGGCUCAGUCGGUGAAGCCUCUGACUUCGGCUCACCACGUCCUGAUCUCCCGGUCCGUGGGUUCGAGCCCCGCGUCGGGCUCUGUGCUGACAGCUCGGAGCCCGGAGCCUGCUUCGGGUUCUGUGUCUCCCUCUCUCUUCCCCUCCCCGCUCACGCUCUAUCUCUGUCUAAAAAAUAAAUAAACAUUAAAACUAACAUAAGAUAAAAAUGAACAUGGCACUUCCCUGCUUACAACCCUUCGAUGACUCCCCAUAAGCCUCAGCAACAAAUCGAAAUGCCUGAGCGGACCGGGCCUCUCUGUUAGUCUAACAGAGACACUGCACGAUGCCUCAGAGAUCAGAUGUACAAGCUGGGUUCUCCCUCCCCGCAGCCAGCUGCUUCCUGAAGGGGAAGGUGGGGCGGGGGGGUGGGGGGAAGCCCCACCUUCUGAAAGCCUCCGUCCACUUCUGCCAUUAACCACCUAGGAGGCCGGGAAGUGCAGUCUGUCCAGGAAGGGUAGGAAAUGGAGUUUUGGUGAAUUACUGAGUCCCCGCAACAAUCUGCCCUCUGGCCACCCAGAGGUAGCGUCCCCCUUCUCGGCUGGCACCACCCGCCACCAGGGGCCCACCCUCACGCCACACCCCGUUUCCGCUCGAGGCCUCCUAUCUCUUAGGGAUGCACCGUGUUCUCCACCUGCGGCAGCCCGGGAUCUAGAAGUAAGAGCCAAGUUACUACCUGCUCUGAACCAGAAUGAGAUGUGGGACAGGGACGGGAUGAAUGUGGGUAAAACUCAUCAGAACAAGGGAGAGCACGCGGCAGCACCAGGCCAGCGACGGUGGGAUCCAGGGAGCAGGCAUCGGGGGUCCCCCCGCCCCGGCUCUGCUCUCUGGGAGGACCCUCCCAGGCCCGUUUUCUCCGAGGAGGAGUCUGUACACUUUGUGCAGCCUGCCCACACAGGCGUGGCUCGGGGGUCAAACCGCAGGCUCGUGGCUUCUUUGGCAAGAGCGAUUUCCUCCAAAAUGUAGGGAGCUCUCCUUUCAGGAAGUUCCAGGGGACUACACCUGAGGUUCUCUUUUUAACAUAGCUUUCUGGAGGCUUCUUUGCUUUGCUCUCUAAUCACUCGUCUGUCUCUGUCUCAGUUUACUGAUGCUUCACCUCCCGAGCCUCUCAGACAAUUAGCGAGCAGGCCAAGUCAACACUUCCCCUGAGCUUGGCCUGCGGCUGAGGCCUUUGCCCACAGAACCGAGAAGGUUGUUGGCUCAAACGUUUUCGGUUUUAUUCCCUGCUAUUUGGGGCCGGUAGCAGGUGCCUUUUCCAACUGCAAGGCCUCCAACGCUUUCACCCACCUUUCUUCUGGCUGCAGACCUGUAUCCCUCACGUCUCGCCUCGAGCUGAAGGAAAAAGCCGCAUGCGUGGGUAUCCAGCUUGUUUCACCGGACACCCCCCCGCCCCGGAGCCACAGGGUGGGUGCCCGGUCUGCCCCCCAAGGCACCGCAGGGGACGGUGUUCACAAACAUUUGGCCCCUGCAGAACAUGAGUCCUCAGCUUCCCACUCUGCAGUAAUAUGUCCCCGCUGCCUGACCACUAAGCCCGUGCUACGAAUUUCCGGCUGUAGAUCCUGGAGGCGCCCUACUUGAAGACGCCUUUGGCGCACUAUUUGGUAUAACAAACACGCCCCCAAAUGCAGCUCGGCCCAAGCCCAAAUAAGAGUUUGGUUUUGGCAGGGGCCUCGUCUCCAUGCAGCAGUUCAGGGACCUGUGGUCUUUACGAGUGGAUUCACUGUCCCCGAAGCCUUGCCAUCGACUGCACCCAGCAGUGGAAUGAGAAGGACAGAGCCUGGGAGGAGCCCAGCUCGUUUCCACACAUGUUCCAUUGGCCAGGACUCAGGCCCAGGGACACGCCAGCCACACGGAGGCCGGUAGGUGCAGCAGCUGUGUGUCCACGAGUGGAGACAGAUUCAGUUGCGAGCAGCCUCCGCCACACCUCAAGGCUCUCCAUCAUCUGGCCCGCCCACCUCCCCAGGCUCCUUCCAUCACUCCCUCACUUCCGGCAACUUCAAAAGAUGCCCUAAGCCACCUCGCUGUUGGGCCUUUGCUCAUGCUGUUUGGUCUACUCGGAGCUUUCUCUCCCGACUGUUCCAUCUGUCUGCCCAUCUGUCCAUCCAGCCAUCCAUCCAUCCAACCAUCCAGCAAGUAUCGUUGAGCCUUAAACAUGUGCCAGGCACUGAUCUGAUCUCCAAACGAGCAUACCAAAACGAGCAACAUGGAAAACAAACAAUACUGUCUUCGCGGGGCUUGUAUUUUGCAGCGAGAUGCAGACAGAAAAUAACAAACAAUCCCAAACAAAGCGGAUUCCAGAACGACCACGGAGAGGCUUAUUCCUGUCCUGUCUCGGCAUCUUCCCACAUCUAACGUGUGACUUCAUCGUGGAGUGCCUCUCACAUCUGGACAGUCUGUAGAAAGAAGCCUCUUGAAGGAUCCUCCCGUGACCUCCUGCCUUCCAGCCUCUCCCUGAUCCAGGAGGUUGCCGGACCUCAACCCCCAGGUCUCCCAUCCAACUCCCUGAUUCGCGGCCUGCCAGCGUCCCCCUUCACCUCCUACAGGCUCAUGACACGCCAGCCCCUGGGGCACCACCGUCGUGAGGACUGAGGGCCUCCGCAUGGGAGUGGCCAUUCGAACAGCCUUUCUGCGUCGGCUUGGCAUUGGGACCUGUCAUUCUCGAUCAUGCCGCCUUCAGCCCUUGGCGUCUAGAUGGCCUGGCGUGAUGGCAGGUGCCCCGUCCCGAGCUGGCAAGAAUAUUUUAUCCCGGCUACUUGUCUGCGUGCAUCCACGUCCCUUCCUCCCCUGGAUCACGCAGGGAGGUCACGCCUGCAAGCCCCACUUCCCAGAGCCCUUAGCAUUGGGCUGCCCGGUCAUUUCUGCCCCAGGGAGGCGCUGGCAGGAGACUAGAAGGCAGUGAAAGAGUUUCUGGAUGUGGGGGGUGUUUUUAGCGGCGGUGGCAGCAGGGACCUGCGGGCCUGUACUCCGGGGUUUUGUUUGGGCAGCGAAGCCCUUCCAGGGGCCCAGUGAUCGCAGCUUGCGGCGACACUCCGUCACCGGCUCCCACCGGUAGCUUCCCACACUUGCUACUCUUCGGGUCACUGGGUCAUCUUCUCACGCUGGCUCCUCUCAUCCUUCCUAUGGUUUGGUAAUCAGUCCCCGCACGAAAUCCCCUCUGUCUGAAGCACCUAGAGUCAGUUUUGCUGACUCUCCACUGACCGCUGUUGUUCUUGGGACAGGCUACGGCCUCCAAGGAUCGGGGAGCCGGGCCCCGGCUGCGCUGGAGCGCAGGCAUGACCUCGCUGCCGGAAAGCGGGGCCUGGAGCCCCCCUGGCUGCUGUCCCCAGUCACCGUGAUGGGGACCACAGGCGCAGAUGCUCUGGUAUGGGCUGGCAGCGGGGGCUGCGCCGGAGUCAGAGGGAGGAAAACCCAGGGCUCGGCUUGAGGCGCAGGUACCAAACCACAAAGCAUCCGAGGCCAGAAAAGCCCGUCUUUGAUAUCGUGUAGCUGUCGGCCGGAUACGACUGCAAACAGAACCCCGGAUGGGAUCUCGCUGGUUGUGGUGACAAGUCUGUCGCGUUCACAGCCUCGCCAGACUCUGACGUGCACUUUACGGUGCUGACUCGGAAGGAGCGGGGCCCUGAGAACAGCACAAGGGACACUUGGCUGGACUUGAGCAGAUUAGAGAAUCCUGAACUGAGGAAGGAACAAUGUGAGCGAAUGCUUGAACGUCAUGCCCCAGCUGCACGUGAUGUCUUCUCACGCCCGCUGGGCCCCCCGAUCAGUGAUGCCCCUCGUAGCUCAGCACGGAACCAUCCUCGGCCUUCCAAACGAGCAGAGAAGCUGCCAGAAGAGUUAUCUGUGUAUUGCCCUCGGUUACCAUUUGUCACCUAAAGUAAGAUCUCAUGACACACAAGCACAGUAGCAUAAGGAGGGCAGGAGCUAGGUGUGGAUCCUGGUUCCCCUGCUCUCUAGCUAUGUGGGCUGCAGCCUAGUGACUCCCCCCUUCUGAGCCUCAGUUUCCUCGUCCGUAAAACAGGCCUAAGAACCGGCAUCUCACGGCAUGGCUGUGACGACGAAGCCAGACGGAAACUCUGAAGGGCCUGGUGAUCGUGGUGCCUUCCCGUUUUGUUCGGACUAGCACCGUAAUUCCGAGUGAGGACUAGGAGAAAAACUUCCCACUCGAGGGUCCCGCCCUCCCCAGGCAGUGGCAUCGUGGGUAGGGAGCGGGACACACAUACGACGGGGCCACACAGUCCUCGGGCACAGUGCCCGGCUUACCCCAGGGGCCCGUACCACUGGACGAGGAUUUCCUGACAAGGCUCUUUGGCAGGGAGAGGGCCAUGCCUAAGAGCAGUAGCUGACAUGAGGUGACGGGACCUCACAGCCUUUUCCUGGUAACCCCCGUCCAGCUGCCCUGCUGGCCGUGUUGAGAGCACGGCCGUGGCCUCAGGAGGUGGGAGCUGCGGCACGGGAAAGGAUGACAAAGUCCCCGGAUCCUGACACCACCGGUGUCUGGCCGGGAGACCUUAGCCAAGCCCUGGUGCCGGUCGCGAGCUCCUUACCUGAAAAUGGGGGCUUUGCUGCUCAUUAAAUAAGCGACUGAACGCCAGGGACCAGGGACAGAAUGGA